GGGGGGGGCAAGCGUUGUUCGGAAUUACUGGGCGUAAAGGGCUCGUAGGCGGCCAACUAAGUCAGACGUGAAAUCCCUCGGCUUAACCGGGGAACUGCGUCUGAUACUGGAUGGCUUGAGAUUGGGAGAGGGAUGCGGAAUUCCAGGUGUAGCGGUGAAAUGCGUAGAUAUCUGGAGGAACACCGGUGGCGAAGGCGGCAUCCUGGACCAACACUGACGCUGAGGAGCGAAAGCCAGGGGAGCAAACGGGAUUAGAUACCCCGGUAGUCCUGGCCCUAAACGAUGAAUGCUUGGUGUGGCGGGUAUCGAUCCCUGCCGUGCCGAAGCUAACGCAUUAAGCAUUCCGCCUGGGGAGUACGGUCGCAAGGCUG
rnacentral:rRNA from 1 species